rnacentral:sRNA from 1 species
UACUCUUCCGCACAGGGAAGGAUGAGAAGCUUCGACUAAGGUUCGAUUCGAGCGACAGCGAGAAAGCGUUGCCGUCAGGCAACGACCCGAAGGGCGAGGUGCGAAGCACCGAGUAAUCCUUCCCCCACCACCA